UUUCCUGAAGUUGCACAGCCAAUAAACGGCAGAGUCCUAAGCUUGUAUUCUGGGAGAACUACUGGCCAUUCCUUCUGUUGCCUUUUGAGAGAAAUUGGAAGAGUUAUGGCAUAAUUCUGAAAGCAAAGUGAAACUCGCUUGAAAUCUACCAAGACACUGGUUUCCAGAAAUGGUUAAGGGAGUCCACUGUAGAAUCCGAUAUUGUAAUCAGAGCACACUGUUAUAUGUGGAAGUUGCUGAUAUUGGGGAUGUUCCAGUGUAAAAGGAGGUAAUGUUUUUCUAUCUUAAAAUUUUAAAAUGAAAAUACUACUCUUUAUAGCAAUAUCCAAAUACUAAUUUCCCUAAUUAGGCGAUUUUAAGAGAAAAUAACCUCUGUGAUAUCACUUUAGCUAAAUUUAAGAUUGGAAGUUUUCUUUAAAAAUUUUUUUUAUUAAAUUAUAGUUGAUUUACAAUGUUGUGUUAGUUUCAAGGGUAAAGCAAAGUGAUUCAGUUAUAUAUUCAGUUGUAUAUAUUCUUUUUCAGAUUAUUUUCCAUUAUAGGUUAAGAUAUUGAGUAUGGUUCCCUGUGUUUAUACAGAAGGUCCUUGUUUGUCUAUUUUAUAUGUAGUAGUGUAUAUAUGUUAAUCCCAAGCUCCUAAUUUAUCUCCCCUGCUUUCGCCUUUUGUAACCAUAAAUUCAUUUUCUAUGUCUGAGUCUAUUUCUGUUCUGUAAAUAAGUUCAUUUGUAUCCUUUUAGAAGUUUUCUUAAAGAUCCACUGGCUGUCUUUUCACUAAACCUGGAAUGCUUCCAGUUUCAACAUCUUCUGAUAUGGGUCUUGUCUCAAGAUUUGAACACUGG
rnacentral:lncRNA from 1 species